UAUAUUCAGAGUUUCAUUUAAAUUUUCUCUGACAAUUCACGCCAACUGCUAAUUAAUGCUGAUUAACUCCCCUCACUCUCCUUCUAACAAGGCAGUGUGCAUGUCUCUCUCUGCUUCUUGUUUGUAAAUAGCUCAUCUGAAACAAAGUAAUCUAAAAUCUCCUUGUUUUUAUGAGCAGAAAAGGUAUGUGCUAUAAUUCACUUUAUCAGCGGGCCAAGCAUUUCUGUUUCAGAGCAAGAUCUGAAGUCUGCGGGCAGACUCCUACUGGGUUAAACAGAUUUUAGAUGAAGCUCUUAGGAAAGGCAGAACUUUAAUAAAUCACAGCUUUGCAACCUGUUUGGCAGGCUGCAUACCUUUGUGAUUCUCUAUGGCCUGCUAGUUUAAGGGUUUUCUUUGUCUUUUUAAGGAUUUUAUUCUACCCAAGCAACCCUGACUUAUAUUCUGCACAGCCCCUCUGAACAUAAAUGGAGUUUUACAGACUGCUUAUUGUGCAGCUGCAGGCGGGAUGCUCAGUCUGGCUGUCACUAUCUCCCCACUUCUGAAGGCCAAUAAGGGAAAACUCCAUGAGCUCUGGGAAAAACCCUAAGAAAUCUGAUAGACCCUCUGGACAAAUUCUUGAAUACUGCAUAAACCAGAAAUGUUCUCAAUGUGAGAUUACAGUAAACUAACCAGCACCUUUGAAGCCUUCUGUUGCACCUUUGGAGCUUGGCGUCUUCACCAAAGAAGUGGGAAAUGUUUUCCAACUGAUCCUGCAAAUCCCACAUUCUCCUGUCUAGGUCCCUCUGGAUGGCAUCUGGUCUCUCGUCUGCAUUGACUGCACUCCUCAGCUUGGUGUCAUCCACAGACUUUCUGAGAGUGCACUUGACCCCACUGUCAAUGUCAUUGAUGAAGAUAUUAAAGAGUAUCAAUCCCAGCACUGACCCACUCAUCACUGAGCUUCAUCCAGAUAUUAACCUACUGACCACCUGUAGAAAUUCCAGACUGAAUUUUCAAGGCAAGCCUAAACACUUUCUGCUCUAUUUAAAAGAAAACAAUGAAAAUAGUAAAAAGAGUAAAAUGAACUGCCAGAGUUCUUCAUUGGAUGUGUGAUCUCUCAUAUAUAAUGUUUUAGGAUUGUAUUCAUGCCUCUGGUUGUUUGUGUGUGGGGAUACUCAUCUUAACUGCUAUAUUGUUAUUUCAGAAACAGUUUUGAGUAUUAAUGUCAAGAGUUACCAGUGAUGUGUGCCAAAAGCACUGUAGCAGUAUUACCAAAAGAGUCUUCUCAUGAAGGAAAUAGGAGCUGCUACACUCUAAUGCACAAAUUUAUGUAGAACAUGUGUGUCAAUUUAUUCCAGCUCAAGUGGAUUUAGCAACAAAGAACUGUCACAGGCUGAUGUUCUCUGUGUUUAUUCAGAGAAUAGGUACAGGAUGGAAAAUAUAACUUACUUCUAGAAAUAUAAUACAAUCUUUAGCAUGGAAAAGGUAUUCUUGGAGAAAAAGUAUAGCUAAUAUUAAAAUUUGCAUGCUGUUGUGUGAAAAGGUUGGAGAAGUAUGGUAAAAAAAACCUCUUGAAUUCCGGCUUGUACUCAGUUAUCGGAAGGGCUGAGGGUGGCUGUGCUUUUAGAUACUGAGUGACGUCCAAUUCUAUGCUGUAAGUCUGUUCAUGUUCAAUAUAAGAACAAUCACAAUUAUGGAUUCACAAACAACACACUGCCCAAUUCAUCUAGUCAUAUUUGAAUCAACUCUCAUGACCACACUUAUGGAGUCUGGCUGUACUUAAUGAGAACUCUCUUGGCUAGAUUAGUGAAUAAUGACAUUUAUUAAAACAGCAGAUUACGGAUUCUGUUGGAUUGCCAGUGAUAAAUGCACUGUCUGCAAAACAUGGGAGGUUGACCAAGAAUAUGAAUAAUAUGGCUGACUACACUCACAUUAAAUUGUGGAAUAACUCUAAAGAGAAUUCUAUGUUUCCAGAGGGAAGCACUUGGUAUAACAGAGUGUAUGAAUCUUACCCAAUGAGCACCCCUGUGAGAAUGGGGAAAAGGGGCUCAGCUUACUGACUGAUUCCUGCUUGUCUGCGAUGAUAUCCUUCUGCCCCCAAAUUCCUUUUCUCUUAGGCCAUUUUAUACUAUUUCUUACUUUCAGGUGGAUCUUGAAUAACUCUGGACAAACUUACCUUUUCUUGCUUUCCACUGAAAGGUGGAAAUCUGCUGGCUCAGGGGUGGUUCAGGAAGACAAUAUAGUUUAUCGGUUUCAAUAUUAUCAUCAAGUUGCCGUCCCUGCAGGACAAUCAUGGAAUUUGGCCAUGGGAUGUCUAUCUCACUCCACACUUCACGUUUUUUUUUUUUUUUUUUUUUUUUUUUUCCGUAGAGUCAGCAUACCAGGCUGUGAUGGUGUUUGCUAAUAUCUAAGUCUGCAAGUCACAUUGCUUAGGGAACUACCAUGGAAUAGAUUAUCCAGCACAUUCCAUCCCCGAAGUGUUACCUUCUCUCAAGAAAUGGACAUUUCAAUCUUGAUUUCAUCCUGCUACGUUACUGAAGUAAACAAAGAGAAAUCGGACUUCUAAACACUAUAUUCUGUACUACCUUGUUGCCUUGGGGUGUUUGUUUUUUUUCUUGUAAACAUGUCUGCAGCUUAUUCUCUCUCUGUGUACCUCUGGUCUGUAAUAAAAAUGAAAAUAAAUAUAAUAUGAGCACUG